rnacentral:rRNA from 1 species
AUUGAACGCUGGCGGCAGGCCUAACACAUGCAAGUCGAGCGAGCGGCGGACGGGUGCGUAAUGUCUGGGAAACUGCCUGAUGGAGGGGGAUCACUACUGGAAACGGUAGCUAAUACCGCAUACCAUCAGCUUUGCCCAGAUGGGAUUAUCUAGUAGGUGGGGUAACGCCUCACCUAGGCGACGAUCCCUAGCCGGUCUGAGAGGAUGACCAGCGACACUGUGACUGAGACACGGUCCAGACGCUUACGGGAGGCAGGUGUGGGGACUAUGGCACAAUGGGCGCAAGCCUGAGGCAGCCAUGCCGCGUUUGUGAAGAAGGCCGUCGGGUUGUAAAGCACCUUCAGCGGGGAGGCGUUACCCGCAGAAGAAGCACCUGCUAACUCCGCGCCAGCAGCCGCGGUAAUUC